rnacentral:rRNA from 1 species
CCUACGGGAGGCAGCAGUGGGGAAUAUUGCACAAUGGGGGAAACCCUGAUGCAGCGACGCCGCGUGAGUGAAGAAGUAUUUCGGUAUGUAAAGCUCUAUCAGCAGGGAAGAAAAUGACGGUACCUGACUAAGAAGCCCCGGCUAACUACGUGCCAGCAGCCGCGGUAAUACGUAGGGGGCAAGCGUUAUCCGGAUUUACUGGGUGUAAAGGGAGCGUAGACGGCCAGACAAGUCAGAAGUGAAAGCCCAGGGAUCAACCCUGGGACUGCUUUUGAAACUGCCGGGCUGGAGUGCAGGAGAGGUGAGCGGAAUUCCUAGUGUAGCGGUGAAAUGCGGAGAUAUUAGGAGGAACACCAGUGGCGAAGGCGGCUUACUGGACUGUAACUGACGUUGAGGCUCGAAAGCGUGGGGAGUAAACAGGAUUAGAUACCCUUGUAGUC